GGGCUGCCCAAGUGGGGCUUUGUCUUAACGUCCUACUUGGACACACUCAACCCAGACUUCACCAACCUGGUGCCCUCCAGAUCUUUUGGACUACAGUUCCCAUCAGCAUCAGCUGCUACCAGUAACUGGCUAGGACUGGUUUUUAUUUACUUACUGCACUUUUAUACCACCUUUCCUCCAAGGAGCUCGAGGUGGUGCACAUAGUUCUUCUCCUGGCCCUUUUUAUCCUCCCAACAACACUGUGAGGUAGGUUAGGCUGAGAGUGUGUGACUGGCCCAAGGUCACCCAGUGAGAUUCAUGGUUGAAUAUCAAUCAAUCUUUAUUACGGUCCAGAGAUCCAACAAAUCGUUACAAAGCAAUGCACAAUUCAGACAGCCUUCCUCCAGGUUAAACAAACAUUUUGUUCAGACUUAAAGAUAGGGAUCAUUGGUUCUUGCAACCACCGAUAAAAACUUUGCCACUGCUAAUGUUCUAGUGUUUGUCUGGUCUUCCAAUAGGAACCUGACAUAGUGAGCCUCUGAUUUUCCCGGGAAAGGUACCAGUAAGGGCAAUAUCAGUUCAGCCCUGGCUUGCUUGUAUUUCGCACAGUGCAGCAAAAUAUGUUUUAUAGUUUGCUCACUAUGUCAGGUUCCUAUUGGAAGACCGGACAAAUGCUAGAACAUUAGCAGUGGCAAAAUUUUUAUCGGUGGUUGCAAGAACCAGUGAUCCCUAUAUUCUGAACAAAAUGCUUGUUUAACCUGGAGGUGGGCUGUAUGAAUUGUGUAUUGCUUUGUAAUAAUUUGUUGGGUCUCUGGACCGUAAUAAAGAUUGUUGUUGUUGUUGUUGUUGUUUUGUAGAAUCUAUGUCUUGGGCACACGAGCAAAGUCUGUCCUGGUAGAGGACUCCUCUCCACCUGCCAGAAGGAAAACUGCAGAAGGAAAGACGUUUAGUCUGGCUUUGGUGAAAAGCCUUCGAUAGUUUGGUACAGUCAGGUUUUUAACGUAAGAUGUUAACUUAAAGACAUGCCCAUAUUGUACUCCUACUGCCAGCGGACUACAGACUGCGUGUGAUCGAGAUCGCAAGUCACUGUGUGUAUUAUCCCAUAGUCUUUGCUUUAACGUCUUUAGGGCGCCUUCAUAACCCAGGUAAUAAAGUUGGGGGGGGGGGGUGACAGACCAAUAGAGGUGGCUUUUCUAGCCAUGGUUUUCUGCCAUUUGCUGACAGACUCCUCAUUGGUUAGGUGUUGAUACAAACCCUCAUGGCUGAAUAAGCAUUAGAACCCUGGUCUCCCAUGUCACAGUCUGACACUCUAACCCAGGGGUAGUCAACCUUUUUAUACCUACCACCCACUAAUGCAUCUUUCUUGAUGGUAAAAUUUCAUUACCGCCCACCAGCGCUCGAUGGAAGGAGGAUUCAGCUUGUGCCGUAGAACCCCCUACCACCCACAUAGAAUCCUGAAACGCCCACUAGUGGGCGGUAGGGACCAGGCUGACAACCCCUGCUCUAACCACUACACCACACUGGCUCUCAAAACUGGCUCUCGCUGGAGGGCAUCAGGUUGGCCAAGGCUGCUUUAGCCCCAUGCUAUGCUCUAACCAUUAGUCUCCCGCUUUCACUGUUGUUUAUCUCCAGUAUCUGGUAUUCAGAGGAAUAUUGAACAGGAGGCUCCAACAUAGAGGCUUAUAACUGUUUAUUGUUCUGUCUGUCUUCAGUAUAAAGAUGCACAAAAGUGUGGCUAAUUAAUAUUAGUAAUAGUGGUAGUAAUAAUAAUAAUAACAAUAAUUAUUGCUUAUGGGUGAUGAGCUGAAGAGGCCCUCAUAAUUUUUCACUUUCAGCCCCUAGACCUCAGCAAAAAUAAACAUUUAUGGGGCCAUGGACACACUUGGAAAUUUGAGAAAAUAUCCUAGCUAACAAAAAAUUACUGCCAUGUUGGGACCACCCUCCAGCUUCCCCAAAGCAAUUCCUGUUGGUUUAACUCCCAGGCUAACCACUAGACGGCACUGUCUCUCCACUUGGACUGGAGCAUUCUGGUGCUAUGUUGCUAAACGUGGCAGACAAUGUGGUCUAGUGAUUUGAUCCUUGGGCUGCUUAAACACAUCACUUGCAUCUUGGAGGGAGCUGGGGUAAAUCAUGGUCCCACAGCAGUUUUCUACUCAGGUUAACUUGACUGUAAUGCCAGAAGGGUAUUAUAAGGAAGCCCUGUAUAGGGAAGUUGUUAAUGUUUGAUGUCUUGCUGUGUUUGAUGUUUUCAUUUGCUGGAAGCUGCUCAGAUGAUGGAUAUUAUUACUAUUAUUACUGCCAUAAUUUGAACAUAUUUUGUCAAAAUAAAGACUUUUUUCAUAUAUUCUUUAGUUGUUAUGUGUGGAUUUCUUAACUCUUGACUCCUUCAUUAUGGGAAAUGAAAAUCAAGAUACCUCAACUUACGGUACAUGCGUACAAUGUCACUCCGUUCUACUAUAAUGUAAGUAUUGUGUCUCAUGCUAUUGAAAGAUCUAUGAAUUAUUUUUAGGUAUACCUGAAAGGAUGCUGGAAGAUGCUCUCCAUUAGAUAAUGCUAUCUCUUGAUGACAGUACACUGAAUUUCCUGG
rnacentral:lncRNA from 1 species